rnacentral:rRNA from 1 species
GACGAACGCUGGCGGCGUGCUUAACACAUGCAAGUCGAACGGAAAGGCCCUGCUUUUGUGGGGUGCUCGAGUGGCGAACGGGUGAGUAACACGUGAGUAUCCUGCCCUUGACUUUGGGAUAACUUCAGGAAACUGGGGCUAAUACCGGAUAGGAGCUCCUGCUGCAUGGUGGGGGUUGGAAAGUUUCGGCGGUUGGGGAUGGACUCGCGGCUUAUCAGCUUGUUGGUGGGGUAGUGGCUUACCAAGGCUUUGACGGGUAGCCGGCCUGAGAGGGUGACCGGCCACAUUGGGACUUAGAUACGGCCCAGACUCCUACGGGAGGCAGCAGUGGGGAAUAUUGCACAAUGGGCGGAAGCCUGAUGCAGCAACGCCGCGUGCGGGAUGACGGCCUUCGGGUUGUAAACCGCUUUCGCCUGUGACGAAGCGUGAGUGACGGUAAUGGGUAAAGAAGCACCGGCUAACUACGUG